CAUAUCAAUAAGCGGGAGGAAAAGAAACUAACAAGGAUUCCCCUAGUAACUGCGAGUGAAGCGGGAAAAGCUCAAAUUUAAAAUCUGGCGGUCUUUGGCCGUCCGAGUUGUAAUCUAGAGAAGUAAUGCCCGUGCUGGACCGUGUAUAAGUCUCCUGGGAUGGGGCGUCAUAGAGGGUGAGAAUCCCGUCUUUGACACGGACUACCAGUGCAUUGUGGUAUGCUCUCAAAGAGUCGAGUUGUUUGGGAAUGCAGCUCAAAAUGGGUGGUAAAUUCCAUCUAAAGCUAAAUAUUGGCGAGAGACCGAUAGCGAACAAGUACCGUGAGGGAAAGAUGAAAAGAACUUUGGAAAGAGAGUUAAACAGUACGUGAAAUUGCUGAAAGGGAAACGCUUGAAGUCAGUCGCGUUGGCCAGGGAUCAGCCUUGCUUUUGCAUGGUGUACUUUCUGGUUGACGGGUCAGCAUCAAUUUUGACCGCUGGAAAAGGGCCUGGGGAAUGUGGCAGCUUCGGCUGUGUUAUAGCCCCUGGUCGCAUACAGUGGUUGGGAUUGAGGAACUCAGCACGCCGCAAGGCCGGGUUUCGACCACGUUCGUGCUUAGGAUGCUGGCAUAAUGGCUUUAAGCGACCCGUCUUGAAACACGGACCAAGGAGUCUAACAUGCCUGCGAGUAUUUGGGUGGAAAACCCGAGUGCGCAAUGAAAGUGAAAGUUGAGAUCCCUGUCGUGGGGAGCAUCGACGCCCGGACCAGAACUUUUGGGACGGAUCCGCGGUGGAGCAUGUAUGUUGGGACCCGAAAGAUGGUGAACUAUGCCUGAAUAGGGUGAAGCCAGAGGAAACUCUGGUGGAGGCUCGUAGCGAUUCUGACGUGCAAAUCGAUCGUCAAAUUUGGGUAUAGGGGCGAAAGACUAAUCGAACCCAUCUAGUAGCUGGGUUCCUGCCGGAAGUU
rnacentral:rRNA from 1 species